rnacentral:rRNA from 1 species
AUUGAACGCUGGCGGCAGGCUUAACACAUGCAAGUCGAACGAGUGGCGGACGGGUGAGUAAUGCUUGGGAAUCUCGCUUAUGGAGGGGGAUAACUACGGGAAACUGUAGCUCAUACCGCGUACCAUAGGAUGAGCCCACGUGGGAUUAGGUAGGUGGUGAGGUAAAGGAUCACCAAGCCGACGAUAUCUAGCUGGUCGGAGAGGAUGACCAGCCACACUGGAAUGGAGACACGGCACAGACUCCAACGGGAGGCAGCAGUGGGGAAUAUUGCGCAAUGGGAGCAGCCUAGCGCAGCCAAGCCGAGUGAAUGAAGUAGGCAUGCGGGUUGUAAUGUUCUGUCGCUAGCGAGGCGGUAACGACAGAAGAAGCACCGGCUAACUCCGUGCCAGCAGCCGCGGUAAUUC